rnacentral:rRNA from 1 species
UACGUAGGGGGCUAGCGUUGUCCGGAAUCAUUGGGCGUAAAGAGCGCGUAGGCGGCCAGAUAAGUCCGGUGUGAAAGUCAAAGGCUCAACCUUUGAAUGCCGCUGGAAACUGUCUGGCUAGAGUCCGGGAGGGGGGUGGAAUUCCACGUGUAGCAGUGAAAUGCGUAGAGAUGUGGAGGAACACCGAUGGCGAAGGCAGCCCCCUGGGCUAACACUGACGCUCAUGCACGAAAGCGUGGGGAGCAAACAGG